GCGAUGAGCUGUUUGUGUAAGACGAAGUAUAAGCUUAAAAGCUAAACGACGAAUGUGGUCGUCGGUACAUUCGCGACAAAAAUCGAAAGCCUUCCCUUUGAAUAGGGAAGGC
rfam:Halobacillus mangrovi strain KTB 131, complete genome.